UGGUGUAUACUUGAUAGGGAAGCCUAGU
rnacentral:piRNA from 1 species